GACAGGCAGAAACAAUAAUAUUCACAUUCUUGGAGGCUACGGCUUGGCUCUACUCUUCUUGGAGAGGCAAAUCUGGCCAUUGAGGCUUCUAAGUGGGAGAGUUUCCUUGCAUGUGAAGCCACACAAAAGAAAGCAGAACUGAGGAAAAGAGACAGAGUCCUAUCAACAUGGCCCGUACAUGGCUGUUAUGUCUGGCAAUGCCUGGAACCAUACCGUAAUAACUUAAUUGUUAUAUUUUCAAUUUUAGAUUGCACAUUUUUUAGAAAUCAAGUCAGUAGAUUUGAGUACCGGUUCCAGUUGGAGUUUUUAGUAUCUGCAACAGAAAGCGGUCAGGGAAAUAUAUAAUAUUAAUGAUUUUUUUUUACAAUUUCAUUUUUAUUUUUUAGAAAAUCUUCAAGAGAAAGUACCUGGGAGGGGUCUCAGAUUCAGAAAUGAUCAUUCCCUCUCUGAAUAAAUACUUUAAUUUAUAUGCUUCAUUAUGAAAACUAUUCUGCUCUGGAGAAGCAUUCACUUCUGGGUAAUAAAAGCUCUAUGAACUGUGAGGAACAUGGAGCCACAAGAUGGAAGUAUGAAGGAAUGUCACAGAACACUGGACAUUUAUCCAUCCCCAAAGUGAGGUUCACUCCUGCCUGCAACAAGACCAAACCUCCAGGGGUCCUUCCAUAUAUACAGCUCCUACACCAGCUCCAAGGACACCAACCAGGGAUGCCAAGCAGGUGAGAACUGGCAGGUUGACUUCACCCACAAGCCCACUCAAAAAAUUUCAUUGUGUCCUAACUCUCAUUGACACUUUACAGGAUGGAUAGAGGCAUUUCCCACCCCCAGAGAAACAGCAGAUGUGAUGGCUCAUGUACUGCUGAAGAACACAUCAUUCUUGAUUUGGCAUGCCAUUCCCCCAAGCUCCUGGGACAUCAGUGUUGGUACCACCUUUCCAGACUCAAGGGUCUGGCUAGCCAUGAUAACAAUCUAAUUUUUUUCUUCUAUCAACCUUCCCUCAAGGAACCGAUGCCUGAGGUCUCCAGGAUGGCAGCUAACUGAAUGCUUCUUCACCCAUUGCUCCCACUAAGAGUGAGUUCACCAAGUACCUUCUCCCCACAUCAUCCCUUGCCAGCAGGAAGUAGCUGGACUUGAACCUGUGCCCAUAUAAAUCCCAAAAGGUUGGGAUGUUGGGAAGCUCUAUCCAGCUCCACUCCUCCCACUCCAGACCCUACUUCUGAGAAAGUCUGCCAUCGAAGGCUCCUCCCUCCAGAGAUGCUUAAGACCAUACCUACAAGGUUUAAUACCUGGCCCAUAUAUCUGCCACAUGCUUUCACUCCUGCCUUCCUGAGAGUCAUAUGGGAGUGUUCUGCCUUG
rnacentral:lncRNA from 1 species